rnacentral:rRNA from 1 species
GUGGGGAAUCUUGCGCAAUGGGCGAAAGCCUGACGCAGCCAUGCCGCGUGAAUGAUGAAGGUCUUAGGAUUGUAAAAUUCUUUCACCGGGGACGAUAAUGACGGUACCCGGAGAAGAAGCUCCGGCUAACUUCGUGCCAGCAGCCGCGGUAAUACGAAGGGGGCUAGCGUUGCUCGGAAUUACUGGGCGUAAAGGGCGCGUAGGCGGACAGCUUAGUCAGAGGUGAAAGCCCAGGGCUCAACCUUGGAAUUGCCUUUGAUACUGGCUGUCUUGAGUUUGGGAUAGGUGAGUGGAACUCCGAGUGUAGAGGUGAAAUUCGUAGAUAUUCGGAAGAACACCAGUGGCGAAGGCGACUCACUGGCCCAAUACUGACGCUGAGGCGCGAAAGCGUGGGGAGCAAACAGGAUUAGAAACCCGAGUAGUCC